rnacentral:rRNA from 1 species
CAGUAGCCGCGGGAAUACGUAGGGUGCGAGCGUUAAUCGGAAUUACUGGGCGUAAAGCGUGCGCAGGCGGUUAUGUAAGACAGAUGUGAAAUCCCCGGGCUCAACCUGGGACCUGCAUUUGUGACUGUAUAGCUAGAGUACGGUAGAGGGGGAUGGAAUUCCGCGUGUAGCAGUGAAUGCGUAGAUAUGCGGAGGAACACCGAUGGCGAAGGCAAUCCCCUGGACCUGUACUGACGCUCAUGCACGAAAGCGUGGGGAGCAAACAGGAUUAGAUACCCCCGUAGUCCCUGUCUCUUAUACC